GGACGGUGCAGGCUAAGUGAGCUGGCUAGGAGUUCGGGUGCCUGGCUUCUCUCCCUGGCACUCAGACCUGCACCCAUCCCCCACAUCUCACUCCCAGCUGGAGCCUGAUGGGGUAACAGCAGCACCCACUUCCCAAUUUUCCACAUUCUUUCCUGCCCACUCAGCCUGACAGCCUUGACCAGGGUCAGAAUUCCACAGCAAACAUCUCAGUCCCUUCCCACAGGAACACUGAGGUCCCUGGCACACCCCACGCCCUGCCCUCCAAGCACUGGACUCAGGAACAGCAACGGGAGGAAGUUGGAUGAAGAAAGCCUUUGCCCCCACCUCUACACCCCCGCCCCAGCCCUGUCCUGGGUGUGAGCAGACACGAUGAUGCUGGGGGCACAGCCCUUCCCGGCACCAAAUCACUCUACACCCUCACACCACAGGAACUUGAGCCCAAAGGCCAAACGGAAGGUCAUCAGCCUUCGGCCCUGAUCCCUCGGCUCUGACCGCUUGGAUUUUUUUCCACGGAUGUUUAUUCCAGCUGACCCUCUAAGCCCAUCCCCCCUCAGGUUCAGGCCAGGAAAGCUGAGCCCAGCUGGCUGAGGAGCUGCUGCCGGCAUCUGGAAGACUGCUCCCCACAGCAAGAAGAUCUGCCGCUCCUGCUCCGUGGCCAGGGCUACCACAUGCACCUUGACCGUCCACACUUCCCAUGGGAUGCACUCGUCUGAGAAUGGCCAGCGAGACUUCUUCUUCUGGUAGAAC
rnacentral:lncRNA from 1 species